rnacentral:snRNA from 1 species
UGAUCUGCGAGGGCGAUCUGGCUGGCUAGGUGGGUGUCCCCUUCCUCGCUCUCUGCUCCAUGUGUGUCCCUCCCAAAGCUGUGUGCUUAGUCGAAGAGGACAGUUUUCCCGGAAUAGACGGCACUUUUUAUUUGAGA